UAAAUGACACACACAUGUGGCAUGCAUCCACUCAGAUGCUUACCCAUACACAUAAAUGACACACAUAUGUGGCAUGCAUCCACUCAGAUGUAUACCCAUACACAUAAAUGACACACACAUGUGGCAUGCAUCCACUCAGAUGCUUACCCAUACACAUAAAUGACACACACAUGUGGCAUGCAUCCACUCAGAUGCUUACCCAUACACAUAAAUGACACACACAUGUGGCAUGCAUCCACUCAGAUGCAUACCCAUACACAUAAAUGACACACACAUGUGGCAUGCAUCCACUCAGAUGCAUACCCAUACACAUAAAUGACACACACAUGUGGCAUGCAUCCACUCAGAUGCUUACCCAUACACAUAAAUGACACACACAUGUGGCAUGCAUCCACUCAGAUGCUUACCCAUACACAUAAAUGACACACACAUGUGGCAUGCAUCCACUCAGAUGCAUACCCAUACACAUAAAUGACAUACAUGUGGCAUGCAUCCACUCAGGUGCAUACCCAUACACAUAAAUGACAAAAGUAAAUUCUAGACAUCAAAAGGACCAAGGUUUGAAUCACGCAAAUGUGUUUUGUUUAUAAGUGGAGGUUCUAGAAUAUUCAUGAUCUAAAAUAUAUGUCAGAUAUAUUAAAAUCUUUCAUUAAAGUAAGUGCUUAGAAAAGUCACCAUAGAACUGGGACAGAAUGUCCAGCAUUGAGUGGCAGUUUCAUGGUGUUCCACCUGAGAGAAACAACAUGCAUAUCAUUCUUAGUCAGAUAAGAUUUUUCCCUGUGUGAGGCAGGUAGCCCAGGCUGGCCCUGGACUUGCCACUGUGUGUAGGGAGUCCUGUCCUCAGUCUCACGGUCCUGCUAGAAUAAACAGCACAUCUUCAUUAUUAGAAAAAUUAG